ensembl:lncRNA
AUGGAGUCAAACGACGCUUUUUCGCGUCUAACUCUCAAACACGGUUUCAAGUGCAUGCCGGAGGAGAACAUGAGCAUAGAAGACGUACUACUAGCCGUCAGUCAGAAGGUUGGUGGUUUAAAUAUUAAGUCAGCUGCUAGAAUGAACAAAGCACUGGUUGUUUUUCUCACUGACGUUGAUAUGGUUGAUACAUUAAUCGAGACCGGGCUUGAGGUAAGCAGUAUGUUUUUACAAUUACUGCCGUUAUCGAGUCCCUCCAAAAAAGUAGUUCUUUCCAAUGUACCGCCAUUCAUAAAAGAUGAAACUUUGAAAGUAAUACUUGAACGUUACGGUAAAGUAACUGCGCCGAUCAGGAUGAUCCCUUUAGGGCUCAAGAAUCCUGACAUGAAGCACAUUAUGUCUUUCCGACGAUUCACGUAUCUAAUACCGAACGCACAAUAUGACCCGCUUGAAGUAGCGAUAAAAAUAUCAAUCGAAGGUAAAGAUUACACAAUCUUUAUCAGCACGGAACAAAUGCGGUGUUAUGGAUGCGGGGAACAUGGUCAUGUUCGGCAGACGUGCCCUAGAUCUGAUAACCGUGCAGGAGAGGGCAGCUCUAAUGUGCGUGUAGAGACAAACUCAGAGUCACAGAACCGAGAGGAAAAUACAAACCACGACAAAAAACCAGAACAGAGAGCUGAGAUUUCUGAUGUAAGUCAGUCAGAAAAUGCAUGUUCUCAGUCUAAAAGUAAGGAAAAUACGUGUUUACCGCAAAAAAACACAGAAGAGCAAAGUGUUGUGACAAAUGGGAAUGAAACCGAAGAAAGGGAAUGUAGUCAGUGGUCAAAUGUAAGUACAGAUACUGUCCAGUCAGAUCAUGAUUCAGAUAAUGGAAGUGAAAGUGAAGAGAGUUUUUUUGACAUGGAAGAAACCGAUUCACAAGUAGGAUCUGUAGAAACGAGUGAUGAAAACUCCAGACUAUAUUCUGUAAAACAAAUAAGUGUCUUCCUUGAUAAAACUAAAGGUACCAGAAAUCCCCAGAUUGAAAUGUUUUUUCCAGAUUUGAAAAGCUUUCUUGCCUCUUCUAGAUAUAUAAUGACAAAUGCAACUCUUGAAGAAUUCAAUAGACAAAAAUGA